CACGCGCUCGAAGACGGCCACCACCUUCCAGUCCGAUGAGAGUAGGAAGUCAUUUCUCAAGACUCUCGCUGAGUGACCAGUUGGAGGAACUUCUGUGCCCGUUUUUCUUCUUUCCCUCACGAGGACGUUUUCUCCAUCAGUGUCUUCCCUCAUUCAAACUAGUUGAAGUUACCCUAAUUCAAAGUCUAUAUUUGAAGUCUAUAUUUGAAGCUGGUGUCACCUAAGGGUCUUGCUUGGAAACCCCAAAUAUAGGACUUAGCAGAAAGCGAUUAGCUUUGGCUAUUCUAGUAUUUCUCAUACUGAAAGAAUAAGGAGACAUCGCGAUCAGGGACAAGAUGGUGGUGUUCGGAUGUCGAUUAAACUUCCCACUUGCCCUGGUCGGGCUUCUUGUUGCUAUGGUGUGUACGGUGCAUAAUGACUGUCACGUGACAGCAGCGAGUAAAGCUGCGCAUCUCAAGAGCAAAACUGUGCAUCUGAAUAAGGCUAGAUCUGUGCAUGUGAAGAAGGUUGGAUCUGUGCAGGUGAAGAAGGCAAAUUCAGCAACUACAAGAAGCAGUGAGGUGCGAGAUGCCAGUACCCAUGAAGCAUUCAACUUGGACACGAACAAGGUCAACAAUGGACAUGUCCUCAAAAUCAAGGGCAACACAAAUAUGGUACGAAUGCUGAGACGCCUGGUCGCGAGGCAAUCGGUGUCGGAUAGUAUGGACUCUGCGAGCGGCUCAAUGUCCAUGUCGACGUCCAUGUCUGAUUCCGAUUCCGCUGCUGCGGCCGCCGCUGCCGCUGCAGGUCCCGCGGCUGCACGAGUAGGAGAUGCAGAGCUAGUCCUUACAGGUGAAAUGCUAUCCAGGCUGGAACAGCAAGCGCUGGCAUACAAUUCCGCAGCCACAGCCUCGCAUUUCAGCCUUUCCGCACUGAUCGGAAAGGGUGCUUGGUCUAUGAUCGCACUGUGGAUUGCAGCCGUAUGGCUUCUACUAUAGGUUGUGCUCAUAGCACAGACAUUGCUCGUGUGGCUAAUGUUACCUGCUCUUGGGAUAGACACUGUCUCUGUGGCUCACAUAACAGCCCUGUUCAAGGAUUCUGCUUUUGUACAGACAUUGCCUAUAAUGGUGUACAUUGUACAUGGUUGGCAUGAUAGCCUGAUGAUCUGUUGUUAGUGCGUGCCGUCAAUGGUUGUAUACGACACCAUCUGCUCCGUAGAACAUGAAUCUUCUUCAGAACCAUCGGCAAUUAUGUACAGUAUGUCUGUGCAUACUGUGCGUACGGUACUGCGUCACGUGACAACUCCGUGGAUUAAAGAUCUCAAUUCCUGGGAGUACGAGUCUGAAUUAUAGUAUGCACAGAUUGAUAUUGAAUACGGAUUGAGCUUGUAAAGUAGAAUUAAUCUACUGCUAUUCACGUUAGUAACCAAGCUGUUGCGUGGUUGGCAUCAUUCGUGGUCAGUAUAAAAUAUUGAGGAGUGCUCCAAGAAUGUUCCCGCUGCCAAUUUAACGUCUGUCUCAGGAUCUUCCUCCCUCUACCCUACGUGAACCCUACGUGAACCCUACGUGAACCCUACGUGAACCCUACGUGAACCAUACGUGAACCCUACGUGAACCCUACGUGAACCCUACGUGAACCCUACGUGAACCCUACGUGAACCCUACGUGAACCCUACGUGAACCCUACGUGAACCCUACGUGAACCCUACGUGAACCCUACGUGAACCCUACGUGAACCCUACGUGAAUACAACAUCAGCAGUUUUCAUGUACCUCCUUUCGCUUCUUCAUUUUGCUUUUAAAGUAAAGAAAAUGAUCCAAUGAUUUUUUGAGGUUUUCUAGAAACAGUUUUUUUAAGAUGUUUUAAAGUUUAAGACGUUUGAACGCUUACAGGUUUACUCACUCUCCCUCAACUUCUACCACUCCUUACUGCUCGUGACUUCUACCACUCCUUACUGCUCGUGGCAUGAUGUCAGAACAACUACACGUCAUGAAUAGGUUGAGCACAUGAUUGUAGGUGCUUUAUUUUCAUUCUGUCUUGCUCAAUUUGAAUUCUAAUUUCUUCUGCCAAAUAGCGAGACACGAUGCACAUCCA